GUUCAAAAGAGGAAAGGCUUGCGGUGGAUACCUAGGCACCCAGAGACGAGGAAGGCCGUAGCAAGCGACGAAAUGCUUCGGGGAGUUGAAAAUAAGCAUAGAUCCGGAGAUCCCCAAAUAGGUCAACCUUUUAAACGGCCUGCUGAAUCCAUGAGCAGGCAAGAGA
rnacentral:ncRNA from 1 species